GAUGAACGCUAGCGGCAGGCUUAAUACAUACAAGUCGAGGGGCAGCACGGUUAGCAAUAACUGGUGGCGACCGGCGCACGGGUGCGUAACACGUAUACAAUCUACCUUAAACAGGGGGAUAGCCUUUCGAAAGAGAGAUUAAUACCCCGUAAUAAAUUGAACGGCAUCGUUUGAUUUUGAAAGCUCCGGCGGUUUGAGAUGAGUAUGCGUCUGAUUAGCUAGUUGGUGAGGUAACGGCUCACCAAGGCGACGAUCAGUAGGGGAUCUGAGAGGACUAACCCCCACACUGGUACUGAGACACGGACCAGACUCCUACGGGAGGCAGCAGUAAGGAAUAUUGGUCAAUGGAGGCAACUCUGAACCAGCCAUGCCGCGUGCAGGAUGACGGCCCUAUGGGUUGUAAACUGCUUUUAUACAAGAGAAAACCCUGGUACGUGUACCAGGUUGAUAGUAUUGUAAGAAUAAGCAUCGGCUAACUUCGUGCCAGCAGCCGCGGUAAU
rnacentral:rRNA from 1 species